UAGAAUGUAAAAAAAAAAAAAAAAAUCCAUUGUCUUUUGCUUCAUAUUAUUCGGAGAGAGAAAGCCUUAUCUUUGAGUGGCUGCAAAAGACAUUUAACCCAAAAGGAGAACAAGUACAAAUUCUUCCCGAAAAGAAAAAAAAAAGGAAAGAAAUUUUUUUUCUCCUUUCUUAACACUGAGAAGAGAGGUAGUAGUAGAAGAGAGCUUUUGUUCCUUCACAUGGAUUUUGAUUUUCAAUUAUAUUCUCCUUUGUCGUUAGGGGUUUAUGGUAGUCAAUUUCAUCAUCUGCAGGAAAGACAGGUCCCGCUCAAACAUCAACAAAAAUAACACUCCUUUUAUGUAUUUCUUUUGGAUUUUUCAAAGAAGUAGAAACAGUUCUUUGAUCUUAACAGCUUGAAUCAUUCAAUUAGGCGAUAGUAGAGGAUGAAUCACUGCGUUCCCGAUUUCGAAAUGGAAGACGAUUAUUCAAUCCCUUCAUCUUCUAUAUUAAAUCGCGCUAAAAAACCUUCCAUGCCAGAGGAUGGAAUCAUGGAGCUGUUGUGGCAAAAUGGUCAAGUUGUUAUGCAGAGUCAAAACCAACGAUCUUUCAAGAAACCAUCGCCGUUCAAAUACCUCGACGCCGGCCAAUCAGCUCUCAGAGAGAUCCGAUCAUCAUCUCACCAUCAGCAGCAACAACAACAACAGCAACAGCAAUCCGUUACCGAUCAUCUGUUCAUGCAAGAAGAUGAAAUGGCUUCGUGGCUUCACAAUCCUCUCAGCGACGCCAACUUCGACCACGAUUUCUGUGCUGAUCUCCUCUAUCCUUCCUCCUCCACUGCUGUUGCCCCUUGCGUUACCUCCACUGCCACAACUUCCGCUCCUCCUCCGCCUCCACUCGGAAGAGUUCCUCAAGUUUCGGCUUCGGCUAUGGUGCCUGCUUCUAGGCCCCCGAUACCGCCGGCGAGGAGGAAUGAGUUGGAGUCUACUAGGAUCCAGAACUUCAGUAGCUUGUCCAAGGAGCAACCUGGACCGUCGAAUUCAAAGAGUGUAGCGAGGGAAGUGACGGUCGUUGAUUCCAGCGAUACUCCGGCGGUUGCUCCCGAAUCGGGAGCCUCUCAAGCCAUGCCGUGCAACACCGAGGCAGCAUCUGGCGAGGACAACAACAAUGCCUGCGCCAACAUGAGCUUUGCCGCAGUUGCCUACACGCAAUCAGCUGGUGUCAGCGUGGGUGCCAGCAAAGACAAUAUAGCCACGUGCGAAGCCACGGUUACAUCAUCACCUAGCGGCUCCAGUGCCAGUGCCAGCGCCGAACCGACGGCUCAAAAAAGGGGCCCAGCUGAGGACCGGAAGCGUAAAGGAAGAGAACCGGACGACGCCGAGUGUCACAGCGAGGAUGCUGAGUUCGAAUCCCCUGAAACAAAGAAACAAUCUCGUGGAUCCUCAUCUACGAAAAGGUCCCGUGCUGCAGAGGUUCAUAACCUCUCGGAGAGGAGACGCAGAGAUAGGAUAAAUGAAAAGAUGAGGGCUUUGCAAGAACUUAUUCCUCGUUGUAACAAGUCAGACAAAGCUUCAAUGUUGGAUGAAGCAAUCGAGUACCUAAAGUCACUUCAGUUACAAGUUCAGAUGAUGUCCAUGGGUUGUGGCAUGCUCCCAAUGAUGUUUCCUCAGCAUUACAUGCCAACAAUGGGGAUGGGAAUUGGGAUGGGCAUGGUCAUGGAUAUGGGAUUAAGUCGGCCAAUGAUGCCAUUUCACAAUGUUAUGGCUGGAUCAGGUUUACCAACACCAGCUGCUUCAGCUCAUUUGGAUCCAAGGUUUCCCAUGCCAGCAUUUCAUAUGUCACCACAAGUUCCAGUUCCUGAUCCAUCAAGAAUCCAACCGAACAAUCAGUCAGAUGCUAUGUUGAACCCACUUGGCAUGCAAAACCCAAACCAGCCACGGAUCCCAAGUUUUGCUGAUCCUUAUCAGCAGUAUAUGGGUCUUCACCAGAUGCAAUUACACCCUCCACAGUGUCAAGCAACGGCCCAGCCGAGUUCCAGUAAACCAAGUAACAGUAAGGGAGCUGAGAAUCUUGAAAAUCACCCAUCAGGUGAUAUGGCACGAUAGCACUAAAAUAUUGGCUGGCUAUCCGAGUUCUGGACAAGUGUUGCUCGUGUAUUCCUUUUAAUCUGCAACACACAACAUUAAAGAUCUGUGCAUUGCAGGUUGACAAUUCAAGCGAGGAUCAUUCCCGAAAGGUAUUGUUCUUUUUAGACGGAUGCCACUAAGCGACAUAAGGUUUUAUCCAUUGCUAUGUAGAAAGCAAAAGGGCAUCUCUUGGUUACACCAGAUUUAUGUUAUGUUUAGGUUUGCAACAUGAGGGUUGUCAUGGUCUGAAAAACCUUAUAAAAGUGCAAAGAAAGAACGGAGGGAGGAGUCAUUGUUCCUUUUGCAUUGCCCUAAUUCAGAGAACCUUGGAAAGGUGUGGUUAGAUAUGAUGAGGAAUGGUCUCUUUUCAAUUUUUUAAACUGCACAUGUUAUUGAGCGCUUUGCAGCAGUGUUGUCCAAUUAAAAAGAAAGGUAAACCAUACCUAAAGUCAUUAAAUUAGUAGUAUAUAUUUUGGUCUCUAAACUUUAAAAUGUUACAAAAUGGCCAUUAAACUAUUCAAAAGUUUUAAUUUAAGUCAUUGGUUGUACCAUCUACAUCAAUUGAAAACUUUCCUUUUCAUUCUCUUCUACAA